rnacentral:miRNA from 1 species
UCUCCUCACGGGUUUAAACCCAAUU